CCUUUUUACACGUCACUGUUCCUCCACCCACGCAGUCUGUACUUACCCUCGGAGGCGCCAGCGGACAGACUGUGUGGCGGUUGCGCCGACGCAAUGCAGGCUCCGAUGGACAGACUACAGUGGAUUUACCGUGUAUUUGCUAAAACCACAGACUCAGACAAAGAGGGCAGCUGUACUUGGUGUCAGAGACAGAAAUGAGAAAAAGCUGAAAUGAGUGAGAAGGACGAUGAAGGAAACAUCUGUGCUGUGUCUGCUCUAUGCAGCUGCAGUCUGCUCAGCAGUGAGAACUGAAGACGUCAGUCAAAGAGAAGGAAAAACAGUCAGAGCUGAGAGGUACAGCUGCUCUUCUUUCAGUACAAACACCAUAAAUCUGUUGCUCACAAUCAAACUUUUCCUUUAUUUUUAAGUUUGUGUCACUUUUCAAACCAUGGUUACGAGUGCUUCCCAGAGACGAUGAGUGAAAGAGCAAAGAGUAAAUUAUGAAUCAAACUACGGCCACACAGACUCAAGUGUCAUGUGGUGAAUAACUUCCAACAGCUGGAUGAAUAAGAUGAGUUAAAGUUUAUAUAUUAGUCUUUAACAAUGAUUUAAAAGAAGACACUGAUGAGGCGAGCCAGAUUUCUUCAGGCAGGUCAUCCCAGGAUCGAGGAGUCCUCACAGCAAACAUUCAGUCGUCUUUAAGUGUGAGCUGGGAACAGUGAACAGGUUUGUGCCUGCAGCAUCUCAGGAUGUGCACACUGACUGGGACACAAGCACCAGUUCCAGUAAAUAUUCUGGUGCCAGUAAACUGUUAAGAUGGAGAAUUUAAUCUUAUUUAAUCAGUUUAUUUUUCAUCCUGCAGUUAAAAUGUGUCAAAACAAGAUUGUGUGUCUCUGCAGAUGCUGUGUGAUCUGACACACCAGCACAAAAUGUGUCAAAGUUCAAUAAGUUACAUUAUUGUAACUGUAAAAGUAAAAGCUGCAGAAACGUUUGGUCAGUUUUUCUCUCAGGAGUCAUAAAGAGAACAUCUGUAACAUCUGUCCUCAUUCAGCCUGAGACAUCCUGGAGACUCAGACGAUCAUUUUAACCUCUGCUUUAUAACUAAAGUGCUCAGCGGCAAGUUUUCAUGAA